GAUGAACGCUGGCGGCGUGCCUAAUACAUGCAAGUCGAGCGAACAGACGAGGAGCUUGCUCCUCUGACGUUAGCGGCGGACGGGUGAGUAACACGUGGAUAACCUACCUAUAAGACUGGGAUAACUUCGGGAAACCGGAGCUAAUACCGGAUAAUAUAUUGAACCGCAUGGUUCAAUAGUGAAAGACGGUUUUGCUGUCACUUAUAGAUGGAUCCGCGCCGCAUUAGCUAGUUGGUAAGGUAACGGCUUACCAAGGCAACGAUGCGUAGCCGACCUGAGAGGGUGAUCGGCCACCCUGGAACUGAGACACGGUCCAGACUCCUACGGGAGGCAGCAGUAGGGAAUCUUCCGCAAUGGGCGAAAGCUUGACGGAGCAACGCCGCGUGAGUGAUGAAGGUCUUCGGAUCGUAAAACUCUGUUAUUAGGGAAGAACAAAUGUGUAAGUAACUAUGCACGUCUUGACGGUACCUAAUCAGAAAGCCACGGCUAACUACG
rnacentral:rRNA from 1 species